CUCCUACGGAGGCAGCAUGGGGAAUCUUGCGCAAUGGGCGAAAGCCUGACGCAGCGACGCCGCGUGGGUGACGUAGGCCUUCGGGUUGUAAAGCCCUGUGGGCGGAACGAACAUGGACGGAUAACGCCCUGUUUCACUGACGGUACCGCCUUAGCAAGCACCGGCUAACUCUGUGCCAGCCGCCGCGGUAAUAC
rnacentral:rRNA from 1 species